rnacentral:rRNA from 1 species
CAGCAGCCGCGGGAAAACGUAGGGUGCAAGCGUUAAUCGGAAUUACUGGGCGUAAAGCGCACGCAGGCGGUUUGUUAAGUCAGAUGUGAAAUCCCCGAGCUUAACUUGGGAACUGCAUUUGAAACUGGCAAGCUAGAGUCUUGUAGAGGGGGGUAGAAUUCCAGGUGUAGCGGUGAAAUGCGUAGAGAUCUGGAGGAAUACCGGUGGCGAAGGCGGCCCCCUGGACAAAGACUGACGCUCAGGUGCGAAAGCGUGUGGAGCAAACAGGAUUAGAUACCCCGGUAGUCCCUGUCUCUUAUAC